AUUCAUAUAUAAAACUUACGAAAAUCCUUAAGUGCAUUGAAUAACGACCGGUUACGAAAUGCACUUAUGUAUACAAAUAUCACGAACAGUAUGCUACCAGCAUAAAGGAAGACACACACCUAACAGCACCAAUAGCUUGCAAUAUGUCGCAGACAAAGCAGAACUAACUGCAUCGCUAUAAAAAGAAAUACAUUUAAGUUCCAUAUAAUGUAAUGUAUUUAUAAAUAUGCUCUUACUUGCCCGUUCGCCGAUUCUUUUCUUUUUGUUGUUUGGCUUGAAAACUUUUUGCACCGCUGUCGUAAUAAGCAUUGGAUCCAUUCCGAGCACUGCCUGACCCGCUUUGGAAAUUUAUGGUUGCCGUACUUCCCGUGACAGUUCCAUUAAGAUUUCUAAGUCAAAGGCCAGACGUCAAAAAAUCAGAUUAAAAUUGCUCAUUGUGUAUUAUUCAUGCGCAUUAAGAGGAAUAUAAUAUUAUUAACACGAGUUAUACCCUGCAUUCCUGGAGUUCCUUGGAUGCAAUAAACUUGGAUCCUUACGUCCUAGACCUUGCGGCCGCUGUGUGAGUAUCUCUUGCAGUAGUAUGGAUGGACGUCGUGAAACCUGAAUUGUGCAGGCUGAGUCGUCGCGGUGAAUUCCAAUGAUUGGUAAUGGUAAAAGAGCCUGACGCUGGCUAUUUUGUUCUACUAGGUCCAAAUUGGUUUGAGAUUUUGCCAGCGGAGAUAUAGGGUGUGACAUAAUCGGUAUAUUAUGAUGGCCGCAAUGAUCGCAUGCAGUCCGAGCGUAUCGUAUCACAGAAUUAGAAGUAGCGGCAA